UGGAGCUGUAUUAUCACACUCGUCUCCAUUUAGUUUAAAAAUUCCAGCCAUAGUUUAAAAAUUCUGUCUGCAGUUUCCGGAGUCCAAUGGACCGGGUCCCUUGGCAUCACAUUAAAAUAGCGCGUCUCCAAGACAGUUCACCAGGCCUACAGAAAGGAUCACCUUUUCCACUUCCAGCUGGGGAGCUAGCUUUGCUAUUACUCCCCUUAGGUGAUCACAAGAGGCCCCUGGGAAACUGUCUACCUGAAUGUUGUUAUUUUCAAAGGUUCCACACGAGAGGCGGUGCCCAAUGGCAGCUGGCAGCGAGGACUAAGG